rnacentral:rRNA from 1 species
GAUGAACGCUGGCGGCGUGCCUAAUACAUGCCAGUCGAGCGAACAGACGAGGAGCUUGCUCCUCUGACGUUAGCGGCGGACGGGUGAGUAACACGUGGAUAACCUACCUAUAAGACUGGGAUAACUUCGGGAAACCGGAGCUAAUACCGGAUAAUAUAUUGAACCGCAUGGUUCAAUAGUGAAAGACGGUUUUGCUGUCACUUAUAGAUGGAUCCGCGCCGCAUUAGCUAGUUGGUAAGGUAACGGCUUACCAAGGCAACGAUGCGUAGCCGACCUGAGAGGGUGAUCGGCCACACUGGAACUGAGACACGGUCCAGACUCCUACGGGAGGCAGCAGUAGGGAAUCUUCCGCAAUGGGCGAAAGCCUGACGGAGCAACGCCGCGUGAGUGAUGAAGGUCUUCGGAUCGUAAAACUCUGUUACUAGGGAAGAACAAAUGUGUAAGUAACUAUGCACGUCUUGACGGUACCUAAUCAGAAAGCCACGGCUAACUACGUG